rnacentral:rRNA from 1 species
GACGAACGCUGGCGGCGUGCUUAACACAUGCAAGUCGAACGGAAAGGCCCUGCUUGCAGGGUGCUCGAGUGGCGAACGGGUGAGUAACACGUGGGUGAUCUGCCCCUUAUUUUGGGAUAAGCCUGGGAAACUGGGUCUAAUACUGGAUAGGACCAUGCUGUAGGUGGUGUGGUGGAAAGAUUAGUUUCGGUAAGGGAUGAGCUCGCGGCCUAUCAGCUUGUUGGUGGGGUAAUGGCCUACCAAGGCGUCGACGGGUAGCCGGCCUGAGAGGGUGGACGGCCACAUUGGGACUGAGAUACGGCGCAGACGCCUACGGGAGGCAGCAGUGGGGAAUAUUGCACAAUGGGCGCAAGCCGGAUGCAGCGACGCCGCGGGGGGGAUGACGGCCUUCGGGUUGUAAACUCCUUUCAGCCAUGACGAAGCCCUUGUGGUGACGGUAGUGGUAGAAGAAGCACCGGCUAACUACGUG